rnacentral:rRNA from 1 species
GAUGAACGCUGGCGGCGUGCCUAAUACAUGCAAGUAGAACGCUGAAGGAGGAGCUUGCUCUUCUGGAUGAGUUGCGAACGGGUGAGUAACGCGUAGGUAACCUGCCUGGUAGCGGGGGAUAACUAUUGGAAACGAUAGCUAAUACCGCAUGACAACAGUUAUUGCAUGAUAACUGUUUAAAAGGGGCAACUGCUCCACUACCAGAUGGUCCUGCGUUGUAUUAUCUAGUUGUUGAGGUAACGGCUCACCAAGGCGACGAUCCAUAGCCGACCGGAGAGGGGGAUGGCCAAAAUGGGAACGGAGACACGCCCAAGACUCCUACGGGAGGAAGAGGAGGGGAAUUUUGGGAAAGGGGGGAAGGCUGGACGGAGAAAGGCGGGGGGGGGAAUGAGGGUCUUGGGAUGGAAAGAUCGGUUGAAAGGGGAGGAACAGAGGGGGAAGGAAAAGUGCACGUUUUGACGGUACCUAAUCAGAAAGGGACGGCUAACUACGUG